UACAGAGGGGGCAAGCGUUGUUCGGAAUUACUGGGCGUAAAGGGCGCGUAGGCGGCCUGCUAAGUCGAACGUGAAAUCCCUGGGCUCAACCCAGGAACUGCGUCCGAUACUGGUUGGCUUGAAUCCGGGAGAGGGACGUGGAAUUCCAGGUGUAGCGGUGAAAUGCGUAGAUAUCUGGAGGAACACCGGUGGCGAAAGCGCUCUGCUGGGCCGCAACUGACACUCAGGGACGAAAGCUAGGGGAGCGAAUGGG
rnacentral:rRNA from 1 species